ACAGAGAAGGACACAGGAUGGUUCCAGAACGUCUGGGAUACAAGCAACAGAAUCUCAGUGAACUGCAGAGAACCUGGAAACAGGAGCAAAUCUCAUGGGGGAAUCUGAGAAUGAAGGGAGUAAGAAGCUUGCCUCAUGUGAGAGAGGACUUCGUGCUGCCAGACUACAGUUGCAAAAUUUAGCAAAAACAUUCAGCCAGAUGGACAAACCAGGGGUUGAUCAAGUUUUGGUGUUAAUGAGUUCCACAAGAUGACCAACCACUUCCAACUCCAGAAGAGGCAGGCCUUGGGAGUGAUGAUGGAAGAAGCAUCUGCUUGCCUGGUUGUUCAUCGGCAUCCUGAAGAGCUCCGUCUACCUUACCAGCAUCCCGAAGAGCUCUGUCUAUUUCACCAAUGGAAGUACAUCGCUACAAAGAGCCACCGCUUACCAUCAAUCCUUCCCUUGAACAGAAAACAAGUGUUGGAGAUUUCAAAAGGCAUUGCUGUUACACUUUUUGAAUACAGUUAAAAGACAAA